GCUGGAAAUGAGAAUUGACAUGCAUAAAUCAAUCAACAAAACAUAUAUACUAUACUAAAGUAUAUACUCAAACUCAUCCAUCAUCCCAUUUGAGACUGACUAGCUCGAGUAUUAAAAGAACGUACGUACGUGUACGUUAGCCUAAAAAGAAGAAGCAGCAGCAGCAGCAGCAGUUGUUUUCCUUAAAAAACACAUCCAUCCAAGUACGUACCAAAGCUUUAACCAAGUCCUGAAAAUGGGGGUAAUUAACUACUACUAUUAUCAACCGGAAACUCAUGCACAUAUAUAUCGGAGUAGUAGUGUGUACGUACCUAUGAUUAUGAUUAAGAAUGAAUACUAGCACUAGCACUAGCACUACAGCAACCAACCAACCAACCAAAAUGCAUCGACUAUAUAAAUAAAUAAUUCAACAAAACAUCCAUCAUCCUACUCCAUCUCCCUCGAUCGGUUGAAAGAAAAAAAAUAGCUUCAUUUAAUUUGUUUUAAAGUUAAUUU
rnacentral:lncRNA from 1 species